rnacentral:tRNA from 1 species
UGCAGGGUAGAGCAGCAGCAGCUCACUUGGUUCAUACCCAAGAGGUCGCGGGUGCAAGUCCCGCCCCUGCUACCA